rnacentral:rRNA from 1 species
GAUGAACGCUAGCGGCAGGCUUAAUACAUGCAAGUCGUGGGGCAGCAGGUUUGUAGCAAUACAGAUGCUGGCGACCGGCAAACGGGUGCGGAACACGUACAGAACCUUCCUUGAGCGGGGAAUGGCCCAGAGAAAUUUGGAUUAAUACCCCAUAGUAUAAUGAAGUGGCAUCACUUUAUUAUUAAAGAUUUAUCACUCGAAGAUGGCUGCGCGGCUGAUUAGGUAGUUGGCGGGUAAAGGCCCACCAAGCCUGCGAUCAGUAACUGGUGUGAGAGCACGACCAGUCACACGGGCACUGAGACACGGGCCCGACUCCUACGGGAGGCAGCAGUAAGGAAUAUUGGUCAAUGGAGGCAACUCUGAACCAGCCAUGCCGCGUGGAGGAUGAAGGUCCUCUGGAUUGUAAACUUCUUUAUAUGGGACGAAAAAAGGACUUUUCUAAAGUCGUCUGACGGUACCAUAUGAAUAAGCACCGGCUAACUCCGUGCCAGCA